rnacentral:rRNA from 1 species
GGCAGCAGCCGCGGUAACACCGGCGGCCCGAGUGGUGAUCGUGAUUAUUGGGUCUAAAGGGUCCGUAGCCGGUUUGGUCAGUCCUCCGGGAAAUCUGAUAGCUCAACUAUUAGGCUUUCGGGGGAUACUGCCAGACUUGGAACCGGGAGAGGUAAGAGGUACUACAGGGGUAGGAGUGAAAUCUUGUAAUCCCUGUGGGACCACCUGUGGCGAAGGCGUCUUACCAGAACGGGUUCGACGGUGAGGGACGAAAGCUGGGGGCACGAACCGGAUUAGAUACCCGGGUAGUCCCAGCCGUAAACGAUGCUCGCUAGGUGUCAGGCAUGGCGCGACCGUGUCUGGUGCCGCAGGGAAGCCGUGAAGCGAGCCACCUGGGAAGUACGGCCGCAAGGCUGAAACUUAAAGGAAUUGGCGGGGGAGCACAACAACGGGUGGAAGCCUGCGGUUUAAUUGGACUCAACGCCGGACAACUCACCGGGGGCGACAGCAAUAUGUAGGCCAAGCUGAAGACUUUGCCCGAAUCGCUGAGUGGAGGUGCAUGG